rnacentral:rRNA from 1 species
AACGAACGCUGGCGGCAGGCUUAACACAUGCAAGUCGAGCGCCCCGCAAGGGGAGCGGCAGACGGGUGAGUAACACGUGGGAACAUACCCAUCUCUGCGGAACAACUCCGGGAAACUGGAGCUAAUAACGCAUACGCCCUUCGGGGGAAAGAUUUAUAGGAGAUGGAUUGGCCCGCGUUGGAUUAGCUAGUUGGUGGGGUAAAGGCCUACCAAGGCGACGAUCCAUAGCUGGUCUGAGAGGAUGAUCAGCCACAUUGGGACUGAGACACGGCCCAAACUCCUACGGGAGGCAGCAGUGGGGAAUAUUGGACAAUGGGCGCAAGCCUGAUCCAGCCAUGCCGCGUGAGUGAUGAAGGCCUUAGGGUUGUAAAGCUCUUUCACCGAUGAAGAUAAUGACGGUAGUCGGAGAAGAAGCCCCGGCUAACUUCGUGCCAGCCGCCGCCGUAA